UACGUAGGGAGCAAGCGUUGUUCGGAUUUACUGGGCGUAAAGGGCGCGCAGGCGGUUCUGUUUGUCGAGUGUGAAAGCCCCGGGCUCAACCUGGGAACUGCGCUCGAAACGGCGGAACUAGAGUUCGGGAGAGGAGAGUGGAAUUCCCAGUGUAGAGGUGAAAUUCGUAGAUAUUGGGAAGAACACCGGUGGCGAAGGCGGCUCUCUGGACCGAUACUGACGCUGAGGCGCGAAAGCGUGGGGAGCAAACAGG
rnacentral:rRNA from 1 species